rnacentral:rRNA from 1 species
UACGUAGGGUGCAAGCGUUGUCCGGAUUUAUUGGGCGUAAAGAGCGUGUAGGCGGCCAAGCAGGUCUGCUGUGAAAACUCGAGGCUCAACCUCGAGACGUCGGUGGAAACCGUUUGGCUAGAGUCCGGAAGAGGAGAGUGGAAUUCCCGGUGUAGCGGUGAAAUGCGCAGAUAUCGGGAAGAACACCCGUGGCGAAGGCGGCUCUCUGGGACGGUACUGACGCUGAGACGCGAAAGCGUGGGGAGCGAACAGG